rnacentral:rRNA from 1 species
GCCUAAUACAUGCAAGUCGAACGAUACCAAGGGGCUUGCUCCUUGGAAAAGUGGCGCACGGGUGCGUAACGCGUAUGCAACCUACCUUAAUCAGGGGGAUAGCCCGGAGAAAUCCGGAUUAACACCGCAUAAAAACACAGGAUAGCAUUAUCCAAUGUUCAAAUAUUUAUAGGAUUAAGAUGGGCAUGCGUGUCAUUAGCUAGUUGGCGGGGUAACGGCCCACCAAGGCGACGAUGACUAGGGGAUCUGAGAGGAUGGCCCCCCACACUGGUACUGAGACACGGACCAGACUCCUACGGGAGGCAGCAGUAAGGAAUAUUGGUCAAUGGGCGCAAGCCUGAACCAGCCAUGCCGCGUGCAGGAAGACUGCCCUAUGGGUUGUAAACUGCUUUUAUCCGGGAAUAAACCUACUUACGUGUAAGUAGCUGAAUGUACCGGAAGAAUAAGGAUCGGCUAACUCCGUGCCAGCAGCCGCGGUAAUACGGAGGAUCCAAGCGUUAUCCGGAUUUAUUGGGUUUAAAGGGUGCGUAGGCGGCCUGUUAAGUCAGGGGUGAAAGACGGUAGCUCAACUAUCGCAGUGCCCUUGAUACUGAUGGGCUUGAAUGGACUAGAGGUAGGCGGAAUGAGACAAGUAGCGGUGAAAUGCAUAGAUAUGUCUCAGAACACCGAUUGCGAAGGCAGCUUACUAUGGUCUUAUUGACGCUGAGGCACGAAAGCGUGGGGAUCAAACAGGAUUAGAUACCCUGGUAGUCCACGCCCUAAACGAUGAACACUCGCUGUUGGCGGUACACAGUCAGCGGCUAAGCGAAAGCGUU